AGAGCCACAGCCGGCCAACAAGGUGUGUCUCCUUAAGCUCCCCCACUUGGGUCCUAUCUAUCUAACGGGCUGCAGGCAAGUCCGCACAGGUAUGCGCCCUCAGUAGAGGCGAGGUGUGCCAACGAGUGAAAAGGAAAUCAAGUUCUUCUCAUAAAGUUUUCACUGAAACGUCCAUUAUCUUUCCCGUUUUGCUGCGGUCAAGGAGAAGCGCAAGCCACCCUUCAGGUAGCCUGUGAGGCGCGUCCUGCCAAAGUCUGGAGCCAGAACACCGUACCAGUCUCGGGUCUGUCUGUACGGAGGGUGAGCGUGAACGAGAAUGAAACCCUACACUAGGAAGUGAAAUGCAGGGGUUGUCCAGACUUGUUUUUCCGCAUAAUUCGAGUUUGGUGUGGAAGAAUAUAACUUGCCUGCACAGAGCCCUGACCUGAACACCACCCAACACCUGUGGGAUGAACUGGAACAUAGGUUGUAAUCCUGGCCUUAUUGCACAACAUCAGUGGUCGACCUCACUGCAGCCAGGUUCCAAAAUCCUGUGGGCAACCUUCCCAAAACAGUGCCGGCUGUUGUAACAGCAAUGGUUUUAGAUACUCAGUUAUUGCAUAUGGGUGUACUGUUUGGUUGUCCACAUAGUUUUGGCCAUGGUGUAUGUUUUCUUUCUGAAAAGUAGCUGUUAAAUGAAUGUAGGGGAGUAAAAAGUACAUUUUGCCACUGAAAUGUAAUGGAGUAGAAUAAAAUGGAAUAUUUUAACACUG